rnacentral:rRNA from 1 species
AUGAACGCUGGCGGCGUGCCUAAUACAUGCAAGUCGAGCGAACGGACGAGAAGCUUGCUUCUCUGAUGUUAGCGGCGGACGGGUGAGUAACAAGUGGAUAACCUACCUAGAAGAUUGGGAUAAUUUCGGGAAACCGUAGCUAAUACCGGAUAAUAUUUUGAACCGCAUGGUUCAAAAGUGAAAGACGGUCUUGUUGUGAUUUAUAGAUGGAGCAGCGACGCAUUAGUUAGUUGGUAAAGUAACGGCUUACCAAGGCAACGAUGCAUAGACGACCUGAGAGGGUGAUCGGCGACACUGGAACUGAGACACGGUCCAUACUCCUACGGGAGGCAGCAGUAGGGAAUCUUCCGCAAUGGGCGAAAGCCUGACGGAGCAACGCCGCGUGAGUGGUGAAGGUCUUCGGAUCGUAAAACUCUGUUAUUAGGGAAGAACAUAUGUGUAAGUAACUGUGCACAUCUUGACGGUACCUAAUCAGAAAGCCACGGCUAACUACGUG